rnacentral:rRNA from 1 species
ACGGACGAGAAGCUUGCUUCUCUGAUGUUAGCGGCGGACGGGUGAGUAACACGUGGAUAACCUACCUAUAAGACUGGGAUAACUUCGGGAAACCGGAGCUAAUACCGGAUAAUAUUUUGAACCGCAUGGUUCAAAAGUGAAAGACGGUCUUGCUGUCACUUAUAGAUGGAUCCGCGCUGCAUUAGCUAGUUGGUAAGGUAACGGCUUACCAAGGCAACGAUGCAUAGCCGACCUGAGAGGGUGAUCGGCCACACUGGAACUGAGACACGGUCCAGACUCCUACGGGAGGCAGCAGUAGGGAAUCUUCCGCAAUGGGCGAAAGCCUGACGGAGCAACGCCGCGUGAGUGAUGAAGGUCUUCGGAUCGUAAAACUCUGUUAUUAGGGAAGAACAUAUGUGUAAGUAACUGUGCACAUCUUGACGGUACCUAAUCAGAAAGCCACGGCUAACUACGUGCCAGCAGCCGCGGUAAUACGUAGGUGGCAAGCGUUAUCCGGAAUUAUUGGGCGUAAAGCGCGCGUAGGCGGUUUUUUAAGUCUGAUGUGAAAGCCCACGGCUCAACCCGUGGAGGGUCAUUGGAAACUGGAAAACUUGAGUGCAGAAGAGGAAAGUGGAAUUCCAUGUGUAGCGGUGAAAUGCGCAGAGAUAUGGAGGAACACCAGUGGCGAAGGCGACUUUCUGGUCUGUAACUGACGCUGAUGUGCGAAAGCGUGGGGAUCAAACAGGAUUAGAUACCCUGGUAGUCCACGCCGUAAACGAUGAGUGCUAAGUGUUAGGGGGUUUCCGCCCCUUAGUGCUGCAGCUAACGCAUUAAGCACUCCGCCUGGGGAGUACGACCGCAAGGUUGAAACUCAAAGGAAUUGACGGGGACCCGCACAAGCGGUGGAGCAUGUGGUUUAAUUCGAAGCAACGCGAAGAACCUUACCAAAUCUUGACAUCCUUUGACAACUCUAGAGAUAGAGCUUUCCCCUUCGGGGGACAAAGUGACAGGUGGUGCAUGGUUGUCGUCAGCUCGUGUCGUGAGAUGUUGGGUUAAGUCCCGCAACGAGCGCAACCCUUAAGCUUAGUUGCCAUCAUUAAGUUGGGCACUCUAAGUUGACUGCCGGUGACAAACCGGAGGAAGGUGGGGAUGACGUCAAAUCAUCAUGCCCCUUAUGAUUUGGGCUACACACGUGCUACAAUGGACAAUACAAAGGGCAGCGAAACCGCGAGGUCAAGCAAAUCCCAUAAAGUUGUUCUCAGUUCGGAUUGUAGUCUGCAACUCGACUACAUGAAGCUGGAAUCGCUAGUAAUCGUAGAUCAGCAUGCUACGGUGAAUACGUUCCCGGGUCUUGUACACACCGCCCGUCACACCACGAGAGUUUGUAACACCCGAAGCCGGUGUGAGUAAC